AAUUUAACAGUACUUAUAGGAAGCUAGUCAAACUAAUAGUUAUUUUAUUGCCUUUUGUAUCAGGAUUUGUUUAAAUAAUUAAAUAUUAUUAGUUCUCGAAUCCUUUACGAACUAAAUAACUCCUGUUAAAUAAGACUUGUUUAUGUUAGAAGUGAAACUCUACGAGUAAGGAGAACUAGUUCUGGCUUCUUAAGAGGGUAAGUCUCUUUUUAUCUACACCUAUUAACGUUAAAUAAAAAUUAGCUUUUACAGUAAGCAAAUUAAUUAUUUAUUAUAAAUAAUCUCUUACUACUGUUUAACAUAGGCAUUCACAGAACAACUUAAAUUAAAUUUUAGUUACUUAUAAUUAUAAAAUUAUUAUUUAUUGUCGGCUUAUUUAAGGAACUCAAGAGAUUGUUGAAUGUUUAACAAAAACUUUUCUUUUUGGUUGUUAAAGGGUAAGGCCUGCCCAGUGAGCGUUUAACGGCUGCGGUAUACUAACCGUGCUAAGGUAGCAUAAUCAUUUGGUUUUUAAUUGAAACCUGGAAUGAACGGUUUAACAACUAUCUCCUGUCUAAGUUAGAUUUAAUAAUUUAGGCUUAAAGUAAAAACACUUUAAUAAAAGAGAGGGACGAUAAGACCCUAGAAGCUUCAUAAUCCAGACAUUAAAAUUUUUUUAAUAAAAAAGUAAUGUAUAAUUAUUUGACUGGGGCGGUAGUAUUAUAAAUACUAAUUUUUAAAAGAACAGCAGGUCAAAGGGUCCUUUAAAUAAGGAAAAAUAGAUCAAGUUACUCUAGGGAUAACAGCGCAAUGUUUAUGGAAAGCUCUUAUUUAUAUAAACGAUUACGACCUCGAUGUUGAAUUAAAAUAUCAUUAUAGAGCACCCCCUAUCAGUGAGAGUUUGUUCAACUUUUAAAUUUUUACAUGAUUUGAGUUCAAAUCGGUUUAAGCCAGAUUGGUUUCUAUCUUCUUUUAUAAAGGUUGUUAGUUCAGUACGAAAGGACCAACUGAUUUUUG
rnacentral:rRNA from 1 species